rnacentral:lncRNA from 1 species
UUGGUGGAGAGAAGACUAAAAUGGAGGAUUUUGUUCGUUCUUCGAGGCAAUGGCCGUUAGCCUAGGAGAGGCCUCCGGUGGGUACUUAUUUAGUUUAGAUGAACUAGUGAUUGCAUUUUCUUACCUCCAAAGUACAUCUUGUGCUCCGUAGGAGUUUUAAUAUAUAAGUUGUAUUUUUGUUUCGAUUUAUGACUAUUUAUAUAUUAUGUGUCACAUGUGAAUUUGGAGUCAAAAUUGUGCAGGCUCUCAAAAAUUGAUCUGGCUCGGAUCAAGUGUCUGAAUCCUGACGUGGAGCUGAAGACGGAAGGUAUGAGUAUUUUGAUGGAGGUCAAAGACGGCUAGCUCGCGCUCCCUGUGGUCUCCUCGAGGAAGAAGCUGCUCAAGUACUUCCCUUGUAAUUUUUUAUAACCUCGUAAUAUUUGUUUUGAUGGCACUGU